rnacentral:lncRNA from 1 species
UUCAACAUUUCUUUUCUCUGUAUAAACUCUCUCUCUAUUCUAGAGAGUUCCAAACACUCUGCCUUCUCUCUACUUUCUCUCUCUAUAUUUUUCAUGACUUCUCUGUCUAAUAUCAAUGUUUACAUGGUAUCAGAGCCUAGACGACGAUCCGAUUAUGUUUCUCUACAUUUCGGUUUAAUCUGAAUGUUAACAUGGUAUCAGAGCCUAGAUGACGAUUCGACUACUUUUCUCUACAUCUCGUUGUCUUGGUUGAACUCUUUUUGAGAUUUUUUGGGGAUUUUUCUGAGACCUUAUGGUCAAUGAUGCUUCUGACCUAGAUCGGAUGCUUUUCCGAGUUUUUCGUCAUGAUAUCUGAGUGUAUUUUCUUCACCCGAACAUUCUGAGAGUUUUUCUGCUGAUUUCGGGUGGUUUCUCGGUGACCUAUCGGCUUCUAGGGUUUCUGGUGGUUUAACCUAGGGUUCUACUGCUUUCCGGUGGCUCGAUACUCACUCAGUGGACGUUUUGAGUGCCUCUCCGACAUUACUGACCACAUUUCCAGUAAGGAUUUCGAAGGUUACUCCUAGGGUUUUAUACCUAGGGUUUUUCUCUGUUGUUUGAAGGCCGAUCUUCUCCGGUCGCGAAGAAAGAGGGUAACUCUGUCCUUAUCUUCGGUGUUGUAUGUGAUUAUCUGACUCUUUGUAUGUGAGCAUCUGGUGUUGUAUGUGAAUACCUGAUUUGGUUAUACUCUGUUUGUUGGUUGUUGUGUGUGAAUACCUGAUUUGGUUAUACUCUGUUUGUUGAAAAUUGUUCUUUUAAGCCGGUUCAUUGACUAUGGCUUCUACAAAUACUGGUGUCUCCUCCUCUGUAGACUCUUCUAGUCCCCUUUUUGUAUAUUCUUCUGAUGUCCCUGGGGUCUCUCUUGUUCCCACUCCCUUCUUGGGUAGUGGUUAUGGGGGCUGGAGACGUAAAAUGAUUGUUGCUUUAUCAGCCAAAAACAAAAUUGGUUUUGUUGAUGGCACAUACUUUCCCCCUCCAACUUGAGGGGGGGUGUUGAGAUAAGAGAAACUACAUGAUUUAGCUUUGUCUAGACUUGUACAUUUUGUGUAUACUCAGUGUAUAUUU